rnacentral:rRNA from 1 species
GACGAACGCUGGCGGCGUGCCUAAUACAUGCAAGUCGACAUUAGUGGCGGACGGGUGAGUAAUGCCUAGGAAUCUGCCUGGUAGUGGUGGAAAACGUCCGGAAACGGGCGAUAAUACCGCAUACUAUGAGAUGAGCCUAGGUCGGAUUAGCUCGGUGGUGGGGUAAAGGACUACCAAGGCGACGAUCCGUAACUGGUCUGAUGGGAUGAUCAUUCACACUGGAACUGAGAAACGGUCCAGACUCCUCCGAGAGGCAGCAGUGGGGAAUAUUGGCAAAUUGGCGAAAGCCUGAGCCAGCCAUGCCGCGUGUGUGAAGAAGGUCGUCGGAUUGUAAAGCACUUUAAGUUGGGAGGCGUUACCAACAGAAUAAGCACCGGCUAACUUCGUGCCAGCCGCCGCGGUAAUAC